AGCAGGAGGGAUCAAGGACCUUUCUGAGGGUUUCUUUUGGAUCUGAAGUCUGCCUUGGGAUAGCACAGGCUGCCAAAGGGACAUGGAUUAGUAGACAGAAGACACAGAUGCCCCAGAUUUGACAGCUGAAACAACUAAAUGAGAACAAGGAGGAGCUUCAUGCUGCUCUUGGAAGGACCCUGGUUCAGCACAGAGUGCUCUGAGUGGUGGAGCCUCUGUGGUGAUGCACAGCAGGUUGAAGGUGAAGGUCUUUGCUGGGGCUUUUCCUCUCCUCUGAGAAACAUUUACAGGCAAAAAACCUUGGAGGAUCACAUUGCUGCUCCAGUUGCUGGACACUUUCAAGUGGAAGGAGUGCAAAAUCCAAUUUUCCCAUCCUAAUCUCAACCACGCUCAACUUAAGCCCACAGAAGAAACUGAGCAUGUUUUUGGGGUGGGUAUAACAUGCCCCCGGCUGGCACAGCUGUAGUGGGGCUGCCAUUACUUCUCUGCCUUCUGCAUUGAUGGACACAUCAAGGGCACUGUGAGCUAUGUUCAGUCCAGAAUUGGAGUGGAUGUGAAGCUGAGGUGAAAAGAAUAAUAGAAAACUGCUCAGAAAUCAAGAGAAAUUUUGUAUUGUGUGAGCCUGGUUUGCUAAAAAUGCCCCCAGAUUUUAUUCUUCGUUCAAAAACAAGCUCUUUUCUGAAUAGAAAUCUAUUUAUUUGAAGUCUAAGUGACUUUCAGAUUAAACAACAAAUUAGGUUUCUGGAUUUUCAAAUUCUAUUUUAAUUGAAUGUUCUAACCAUGCAGAAUGUAAAGAAACUGAAAAUGUCUGAUGCCAAAUGGCACACUUAUUAAUUGAAAUUAGAUGACAAAUUUGUCCUUAAUUUUAUCCAAUUAUAUUAAGAGGUCUUUCUGUUACAAAACAUUACAAACCAGUACUGAGGCCAGAGAGGUGCUAAAGAAGUCUUUUUUUCUGUCAUGUGGAGCACUGUACAGAAUUGCGUGGGUUUAAACAAAAUGUAUCUUGAUGUUUUACCUUAAAACUCUCUGUCCUUUUCCUCAGUUCAGCUGAAUCCUAUGAAAUAGAUACGCAGCUUGGAGAAGUUCUUCACGCCCCCACAAAUGCUAAAAAUGGCCCUGAUACAACAUGUAUUUAUGUAACAAAAUCAUCUGCAUUAAUAUCUUCCUUUCCUUUCGGUGAGAAGCACAGGGGGGACUCAGGCUGACACAUUUCAAUGCAGCCCCUUCCGUUCUUCUCCUUGCAUUUGGGGCAGCAGGGACAAGCACUGCUCUCUCACUUCAAAACCAGGGCUGUGAAUGAACAGGAACAUGACGUGACUAUCAAUAGUGAGUUUGAGGGAAGGUUGUGGUCCGAGCUUUCAGAUUCUCUUCCCCUGAAUAUUCAGUUUUCUGUUACAGAUCAAAAUCACUGGCAACAAGGUUUCUGGCCACUCUUGUGCUGAUGUUCCAAAAUAAAGAGGGCAUUUAAAAAAUAAAAUUUUCUCUACUCCUGUGAAAAGCUGAGAGACUAGUUGGCUCAUGGGGUCAAGCAUGAUGUAUAGAGCCUUUCACAUCUUGUUUGCAUCUGGCGGGAUGCAGUGAGAAAUGUUCCUGCUUGGCAGCUGGUUGGUGUCCUGUUUGUCACCAUCAUGUUCAGGUGGAUUCUUGCUCUUUGGGUCACAGCCCAUUCCCAGCAGUGGGCAGCUCUGCAGACAGGGACACUGAGCACGGGGUGGGGCUUAUCUUGGCCCCUGGGGCUGUACCCCUGGCCAGGAUGGAGUCCUGCUAUCAGAAGGAGAGUGAACAGUAGCUGCUGCUGCUGGUAAGGCUGGAGGAAGCCUUGGUAACCUUGCUGUGUUUAUUAUUACUAGAAGAUCUGGGGAAAUAAACAGCCUGUUUUUCAGAUGCGGGC